rnacentral:tRNA from 4 species
CGCGGGGUAGAGCAGUUGGCAGCUCGCCAGGCCCAUAACCUGGAGGUCGCCGGUUCGAGUCCGGCCCCCGCUACCA